GAUGAGCGCUGGCGGCGUGCCUAAUACAUGCAAGUCGAGCGAACAGAUGAGGAGCUUGCUCCUCUGACGUUAGCGGCGGACGGGUGAGUAACACGUGGAUAACCUACCUAUAAGACUGGGAUAACUUCGGGAAACCGGAGCUAAUACCGGAUAAUAUAUUGAACCGCAUGGUUCAAUAGUGAAAGACGGUUUUGCUGUCACUUAUAGAUGGAUCCGCGCCGCAUUAGCUAGUUGGUAAGGUAACGGCUUACCAAGGCAACGAUGCGUAGCCGACCUGAGAGGGUGAUCGGCCACACUGGAACUGAGACACGGUCCAGACUCCUACGGGAGGCAGCAGUAGGGAAUCUUCCGCAAAGGGCGAAAGCCUGACGGAGCAACGCCGCGUGAGUGAUGAAGGUCUUCGGAUCGUAAAACUCUGUUAUUAGGGAAGAACAAAUGUGUAAGUAACUAUGCACGUCUUGACGGUACCUAAUCAGAAAGCCACGGCUAACUACGUG
rnacentral:rRNA from 1 species